rnacentral:tRNA from 1 species
ACCGGGAUCGGUUGCCGGUCGAGUCGUUCGACUUGUGCUCCGGCUGCCGCGUGGUCGAGCCGGCUCGGUUCUAUGCCGUGCUCCGAUGC